UACAGAGGUCUCAAGCGUUGUUCGGAUUCAUUGUGCGUAAAGGUUGUGUAGGUGGCGCCGUAAGUCGGGUGUGAAAUUUCGGAGCUUAACUCCGAAACUGCAUUCGAUACUGCGGUGCUUGAGGACUGGAGAGGAGACUGGAAUUCAUGGUGUAGCAGUGAAAUGCGUAGAGAUCAUGAGGAAGACCAGUGGCGAAGGCGGGUCUCUGGACAGUUCCUGACACUGAGACACGAAGGCCAGGGGAGCAAACGGG
rnacentral:rRNA from 1 species